GAUUCGGUUAGGGGGCUAUUACCUCCAUUGGCUGUAAUAGCCAUUCCCCUCGUAAAGUGGCGAUUAGGGAUUCUGCCCUUGUUUCCUAUUUUCUAUUCCAUUCUCUGCCCUUGAAUUCUGCUUCCGUCCCAUCGAUUCUCCGACAUUUCCCUUCCAGAGCUUUUUUUCUUCAUUUUAUCAAGAACGAAAAACCGAUUUCCAGAGUAUACUGCUCUUCUUUUGAUAAGAACAAGUACCAAUUGGCUCUGCAGAGGUUCGGGCUAUUUUCAGCAAUGGUAGUGGUCAUGUUGCUGGAUGUACGGUACAGAGGGAAAGAUAGUGGAUGGUUGUGGCAUCCGUGUCAUUCGAAAUGGUCGCACAGUCCAUGUCGGUGUUCUUGAUUCAUUGCGAAGGGUUAAGGAAAUUGUUAAAGAGGUAAAUGCUGGUUUGGAGUGUGGUAUGGGAGUGGAAGAUUAUGAUCAAUGGCAGGAAGGAGAUAUUCUUGAGGCUUUCAACAUUUUUCAAAAGAAGCGAACACUUGAAGAGGCAUCUGCUUCAAUGGCAGCCGCACUGGAAGGAGUAGGAGUUGAGUUGUAGAAUGACACUGGCUUCAAAACUCAGAUCAUUUGGUUUUCUUGAUGGAAUCAAAAUUUUCAUGAAAGGGGCAAACCACCAUGUAGUGUGUCUACUGCUGCUUUGGCCAUUGCUCAAUGUGCAUUGAUAUAAGAGAUUUUGCCUCAUGCAACUUAUUUUGGAAUGCAGCAUGUUGAGGUUUGUGGACAUGCAGAUUUUUGCCAUUGUUGUUUUAUUUUUAUUUAAUGUAUGUUGUAUAUAUUAACAUCUCAUUCCAGCUUUGCAUUUGGAAAGACUGGAUAGUUAGUUACAUAUUCCACAGGAUUCAUUGUAGAAAAUACCUUGAAACAUUUAACCCAAAAUGGGGAAAAAGGAAUAUAGUUGGAUAAGUGUGGGAUAAUGUCUUGAAA